CCUACGGGUGGCAGCAGUGGGGAAUAUUGGACAAUGGGGGGAACCCUGAUCCAGCCAUGCCGCGUGUGUGAAGAAGGCCUUAUGGUUGUAAAGCACUUUAAGCGAGGAGGAGGCUCUUUUGGUUAAUACCCAAGAUGAGUGGACGUUACUCGCAGAAUAAGCACCGGCUAACUCUGUGCCAGCAGCCGCGGUAAUACAGAGGGUGCAAGCGUUAAUCGGAUUUACUGGGCGUAAAGCGCGCGUAGGCGGCCAAUUAAGUCAAAUGUGAAAUCCCCGAGCUUAACUUGGGAAUUGCAUUCGAUACUGGUUGGCUAGAGUGUGGGAGAGGAUGGUAGAAUUCCAGGUGUAGCGGUGAAAUGCGUAGAGAUCUGGAGGAAUACCGAUGGCGAAGGCAGCCAUCUGGCCUAACACUGACGCUGAGGUGCGAAAGCAUGGGGAGCAAACAGGAUUAGAUACCCGAGUAGUC
rnacentral:rRNA from 1 species